AAAAAUAAACUUCCAUGGCCUCCGCCAUUUCUGACAACGUCAACAAACACGUCGCUACUCGUGAACUCUGAGCUUUCAGAAACCUUCCACUUACAAGGUCCUGAAUACCACAAGAGAGGAGGCGUUCAUAUGGACUCAUCUGGUGAACACGGUGAACACGACCACAUCUGAAGGCACCACAAAUGCACGAGCAUGCAGGUUACUCCAUCCUGCCAACAUUGUCACAUUAUUCUGCAGAUCGACAGCAGAAGUCAGGGUAGAAGAAGACUGCAGCUACCAAAUAUGGAUGUAAACAAAGCAGGUUUUAAAAUAUAUUUGAAGGCAGCAAUAUAUAUGAAUUACAUUGCAUAACCUUUUUGUAGGUAAAGCUACAAACGGUGUCUGAGAGCAGCCUGAACACAACUUGUAGACGAG